rnacentral:rRNA from 1 species
GGUUAAGCGACUAAGCGUACACGGUGGAUGCCCUGGCAGUCAGAGGCGAUGAAGGACGUGCUAAUCUGCGAUAAGCGUCGGUAAGGUGAUAUGAACCGUUAUAACCGGCGAUUUCCGAAUGGGGAAACCCAGUGUGAUCCGUCACACUAUCAUUACGUGAAUACAUAGCGUAAUGAAGCGAACCGGGGGAACUGAAACAUCUAAGUACCCCGAGGAAAAGAAAUCAACCGAGAUUCCCCCAGUAGCGGCGAGCGAACGGGGAGCAGCCC